UAAGGAAUAUUGGUCAAUGGACGAAAGUCUGAACCAGCCAUGCCGCGUGAAGGAUGACGGCCCUCUGGGUUGUAAACUUCUUUUAUCUGGGACGAAAAAGGAUCAUUCCUGAUCACUUGACGGUACCAGAGGAAUAAGCACCGGCUAACUCCGUGCCAGCAGCCGCGGUAAUACGGAGGGUGCAAGCGUUAUCCGGAUUUACUGGGUUUAAAGGGAGCGUAGGUGGGUCUGUAAGUCAGUGGUGAAAUCUCCGAGCUUAACUCGGAAACUGCCAUUGAUACUAUAGGUCUUGAAUAUUCUGGAGGUACGCGGAAUAUGUCAUGUAGCGGUGAAAUGCUUAGAUAUGACAUAGAACACCGAUUGCGAAGGCAGCUUGCUACAGGAUUAUUGACACUGAGGCUCGAAAGCGUGGGGAUCAAA
rnacentral:rRNA from 1 species